rnacentral:rRNA from 1 species
AGUGAACGCUGGCGGUAGGCCUAACACAUGCAAGUCGAACGGCAGCACAGUAAGAGCUUGCUCUUACGGGUGGCGAGUGGCGGACGGGUGAGGAAUACAUCGGAAUCUACUUUUUCGUGGGGGAUAACGUAGGGAAACUUACGCUAAUACCGCAUACGACCUACGGGUGAAAGCAGGGGAUCUUCGGACCUUGCGCGAUUGAAUGAGCCGAUGUCGGAUUAGCUAGUUGGCGGGGUAAAGGCCCACCAAGGCGACGGUUCGUAGGUGGGUCGAGGGGGUGAUCAGCCACACUGGAACUGAGACACGGUCCAGACUCCUACGGGAGGCAGCAGUGGGGAAUAUUGGACAAUGGGCGCAAGCCUGAUCCAGCCAUACCGCGUGGGUGAAGAAGGCCUUCGGGUUGUAAAGCCCUUUUGUUGGGAAAGAAAAGCAGCAGGUUAAUACCCCGCUGUUCUGACGGUACCCAAAGAAUAAGCACCGGCUAACUUCGUG